rnacentral:rRNA from 1 species
UGGAGCAAAUCCCUAAAAGCCAUCCCAGUUCGGAUCGCAGGCUGCAACCCGCCUGCGUGAAGUUGGAAUCGCUAGUAAUCGCGGAUCAGCAUGCCGCGGUGAAUACGUUCCCGGGCCUUGUACACACCGCCCGUCACACCAUGAGAGUCGGGAACACCCGAAGUCCGUAGCCUAACCGCAAGGGGGGCGCGGCCGAAGGUGGGUUCGAUAAUUGGGGUGAAGUCGUAACAAGGUACC